GAGAGUGAGUGUUGGGUGAGUGUUGGGUGAGUGGUGGGUGAGUGGUGGGUGAGUGGUGGGUGAGUGGUGGGUGGGUGAGUGGAGCAGGGGGCGACACUCAGAGGGAGAAGCGGUGUGGACAUCGGGAAGACAAAGGCGGUAGGGGAGGUACAGUAGGCGUACAGUGCGUGGGUAGCUUCCAUCAGUGAAGGGUGGAGUGGGCGACUCACCGCGGUCGACUUUGUGUCCCUCGUGCUACUUACAGUAGGCGGGCUCCCUGCUGUGCCAAAGGGUCACGAAGAUUCACGCAGAGAUAGAGGCAAAGGGCCCCCCCCCCCCCAGUAGCAGCAGCGGCAGCCGUGUAGUCUUAACAGAACGUGGGGGGCUAAGCGCUGAUUAUGGUUGUGCGGAGGGCGCAUAGACUCACCACACACACACAGAGAGACAUAGACUCACCUUACACACACAGAGAGACAUAGACUCACCUUACAGAGAGACAUAGACUCACCACACACACAGAGAGACAUAGACUCACCUUACAGAGAGACAUAGACCGACCGCACACACAGAGACCCAUAGACUCACCACACACACAGAGAGAUCCAUAGACUCACCACUCACACAGAGACCCAUAGACUCACCACUCACACAGAGCCAUAGACUCACCACGCAGAGAGCCAUAGACUCACCACGCAGAGAGCCAUAGACUCAUCACACAGAGACCCAUAGACUCACCACUCACACAGAGCCAUAGACUCACCACGCAGAGAGCCAUAGACUCACCACGCAGAGAGCCAUAGACUCACCACACAGAGAAGCCAUAGACUCAUCACACAGAGACCCAUAGACUCACCACGCAGAGAGCCAUAGACUCACCACACUCACACACAGAGAGCCAUAGACUCACCACUCACACAGAGACCCAUAGACUCACCACGCAGAGAGCCAUAGACUCACCACACUCACACACAGAGAGCCAUAGACUCACCACUCACACAGAGACCCAUAGACUCACCGCGCAGAGAGCCAUAGACUCACCGCACAGAGAGCCAUAUACUCACCACACAGAGAGCCAUAGAUUCACCCCACAGAGAGCCAUAGACUCACCGCACAGAGAGCCAUAGACUCACCACACAGAGCCAUAGACUCACAGAGACCCAUAGACUCAUCACGCAAAGACCCACAGACUCAUCAGAGACCCACAGAUUUACCACACACACACACAGACCCAUAGACUCAUCAUACAGAGAACCAUAGACUCACCACUCACACGCAGAGAGACCCAUAGACUCACCACUCUCACAGAGACCCAAAGACCCAUGAAAAAAAAAGAUACCCAUAGACUCACCACACAGAGACCCAUAGACUCACCACUCUCACAGAGACCCAUAGACCCAUUAAAAAAAAAGAUACCCAUAGACUCACCACACAGAGACCCACAGACUCACCACACAGAGACCCACAGACUCACCACACAGAGACCCACAGACUCACCACACAGAGACCCACAGACUCACCACACAGAGACCCACAGACUCACCACACAGAGACCCAUAGACUCACCACACAGAGACCUGGAGUGGAUAUAAUACAUAGAUAGCACUGUACACACACACCAUCACCACCACUAGCAUCGGUUUAAAACGUAACUAAACUCGAUUGGACCCGAUGCAUUUAAGCAAAUUUCUUCCACAUUAUUUUAUGACUUUGAGGGUGUCGAUGAUUCCUGGCCCAUGUUUUGCAAAAUUGGUUUAAAAAAAUACAUAUUCUGAUAUACGCACACACACUCAUAUAGUGCACGUGUACAAUAUACAUACAGAGGAGUGUGUACAAUUGAUAAUAGUACAAUAUAAACACAUUAUCAAUACUGAUUCUGAUACACACACUCAUAUAGUACAUGUGUACAAUAUACAUACAGAGGAGUGUGUACAAAUUGAAAUAGUACAAUAUAAACACAUCAAUACUGAUUCUGAUACACACACUCAUAUAGUACAUGUGUACAAUAUACAGAGAGGAGUGUGUACAAAUCGAUAUAGUACAAUAUAAACACAUUAUCAAUACUGAUUCUGAUACACACACUCAUAUAGUACAUGUGUACAAUAUACAUACAGAGGAGUGUGUACAAAUUGAUAUAGUACAAUAUAAACACAUUAUCAAUACUGAUUCUGAUACACACACUCAUAUAGUACAUGUGUACAAUAUACAUACAGAGGAGUGUGUACAAAUUGAAAUAGUACAAUAUAAACACAUCAAUACUGAUUCUGAUACACACACUCAUAUAGUACAUGUGUACAAUAUACAGAGAGGAGUGUGUACAAAUCGAUAUAGUACAAUAUAAACACAUUAUCAAUACUGAUUCUGAUACACACACUCAUAUAGUACAUGUGUACAAUAUACAUACAGAGGAGUGUGUACAAAUUGAUAUAGUACAAUAUAAACACAUUAUCAAUACUGAUUCUGAUACACACACUCAUAUAGUACAUGUGUACAAUAUACAUACAGAGGAGUGUGUACAAAUUGAAAUAGUACAAUAUAAACACAUCAAUACUGAUUCUGAUACACACACUCAUAUAGUACAUGUGUACAAUAUACAGAGAGGAGUGUGUACAAAUCGAUAUAGUACAAUAUAAACACAUUAUCAAUACUGAUUCUGAUACACUCAUAUAGUACAUGUGUACAAGAUACAGAGAGGGGUGUGUGUGUGUACAAAUUGAUAACAUAGAAUAUAAACACAGCUAUUAACACACACAAAUAGCACUUAUGCAGCAGAAUAUAUUGCUGCAGGCUAAUACAUAUUCUGAUUUCUACACACACACACUCAUAGAGUGCUAAAGUGUGCACUAUACAUACGGGUGUAGGUGUGUAUUGUGUACAAAUUGUACACAAUACAAUAUAAACAGUGAUGUUAACACACACACAUGCAUCAGAAUAUAUCCCUACACUCUAAAAUACAUGUUCUGAUUCUGAUAUACACACAUACACACACACAUAGAGUGCAUUUAUACAACAAAAGUGUGUUUAACUAAUAGAAAUAGUACAAUAUAAACAGAUGUUAACACACAUAUAGCAGAAUAUAUCCCUCCACUCUAAAAUACAUGUUCUGAUUCUGAUACACACAUACAUACACACAUAGAGUGCAUUUAUACAACAAAGGUGUGUUUAACUAAUAGAAAUAGUAUACAAUAUAAACAGAUGUUAACACACAUAUAGCAGAAUAUAUCCCUACACUCUAAAAUACAUGUUCUGAUUCUGAUACACACACAUACACACACUCAUAGAGUGCAUUUAUACAACAAAGGUGUGUUUAACUAAUAGAAAUAGUAUACAAUAUAAACAGAUGUUAACACACACACAGCAGAAUAUAUUUCUCCACUCUAAAAUACAUGUUCUGAUUCUGAUACACACACAUACACACAUAGAGUGUAUUUAUACAACAAAGGUGUGUUUAACUAAUAGAAAUAGUAUACAAUAUAAACAUGUUAACACACAUAUAGCAGAAUAUAUCCCUACACUCUAAAAUACAUGUUCUGAUUCUGAUAUACACACAUACACACACUUAGAGUACAUUUAUACAACAAAGGUGUGUUUAACUAAUAGAAAUAGUACAAUAUAAACAGAUGUUAACAAACACACACAUAUAGCAGAAUAUAUUUCUCCACUCUAAAAUACAUGUUCUGAUUCUGAUACACACACAUACACACACUCAUAGAGUGCAUUUAUACAACAAAGGUGUGUUUAACUAAUAGAAAUAGUAUACAAUAUAAACAGAUGUUAACACACACAUGCAUCAGAAUAUAUCCCUACACUCUAAAAUACAUGUUCUGAUUCUGAUAUACACACAUACACACACUCAUAGAGUGCAUUUAUACAACAAAGGUGUGUUUAACUAAUAGAAAUAGUAUACAAUAUAAACAGAUGUUAACACACACAUGCAUCAGAAUAUAUCCCUACACUCUAAAAUACAUGUUCUGAUUCUGAUAUACACACAUACACACACACAUAGAGUGCAUUUAUACAACAAAGGUGUGUUUAACUAAUAGAAAUAGUAUACAAUAUAAACAGAUGUUAACACACAUAUA